GAAUUGAUUAUCGUAUUUGCUGUUGGUGGAAUGACUGUCGUCCUUGUUGCUGUUGCUGUUGCGCAUUGUAUUAAAAAGUACAAAGGCCAGUGUAUGGCAGAAAAAAACGAUGAAGACCUGGAGAUGACAGCCAGCACUGACAACGGAGUUGAUAUGUCAGAGAACAGCACUCUUGUUGUCUUGAAAGAAACUUUACAGCAAUAAAGUGCAGGAGGAGCCCCAGAGUGUGAACUGUUAAACAAGAAAGUGGAGGAUGGCACUGCAGCUGAAAACGUCACCACCACAAAGACCAGCUAACCCUGCUGCUACCAGAAGAUAAUCUAGCUCUGUGUGUGUGUGUGUGUGUGUGUGUGUGUGUGUGUGUGUGUGUGUGUGUGUGUGUGUGUGUGUGUGUGUGUGUGUGUGUGUGUGUGUGUGUGUGUGUGUAUCAGGGCUUGACACUGGCACCAGCCAACCGGCCAAAUGCUGGUAAAGUAAAUGUCAAGCCCUGGUGUGUAUGCGUGUGUGUGUGUGUGUGUGUGUGUGUGUGUGUGU